CUUAGGUUCACCUGGGGGAGCUUUACAAAUCCCAAUGCCUGGCUCCCACCCUGGACAGAUGACAUCAGACCCGUGAAGGGAUAGCACGGCGGCAUCACUGCUUUGGCCCAGUCCUCACCCAGGACCAAUAAAAUCAGAAUCCCAGAGGGAUGGAACUCAGCCAUGAGCCAUUCUUCAACCUUCUCAGGCUGCCGACACAGAUAUGGUACCAAAUGUUCCCUUUGAGGUUACCAACCAC